AUUGAACGCUGGCGGCAUGCUUUACACAUGCAAGUCGAACGGCAGCGCGGGCCUCGGCCUGGCGGCGAGUGGCGAAAGGGGGAGAAAUACAUCGGAACGAGCCCAGUAGGGGGGGGUAGCACGGCGAAAGACGGAGUAAUACCGCAUAAGAGCUGAGGGUGAAAGCGGGGGAGCUUCGGACCUCGCGCUAGGGGAGCGGCGGAUGGCGGAUUAGCUGGUUGGUGGGGUAAAGGCCUACCAAGGCGACGAUCUGUAGGUGGUCGGAGAGGAAGAGCAGCCACCUUGGGACUGGGCCACGGCCCAGGCUCCUGCGGGAGGCCGCAGUGGGGAAUUUUAGGCAGUGGUCGAGAGCCUGGUCCAGCAAUGCCGCGUGUGUGAUGACGGCCUUGGGGUUGUAAAGCCGUUUUUCGGGGAGCGAAAAGGACUGUGCCGAUACCACGGUUCGAUGACGGUACCCGCAGAAUAAGCACCGGCUAACUACGUG
rnacentral:rRNA from 1 species